rnacentral:rRNA from 1 species
GCAACUCGCCUGCAUGAAGCUGGAAUUGCUAGUAAUCGCGGAUCAGCAAGCCGCGGUGAAUACGUUCCCGGGCCUUGUACACACCGCCCGUCACACCAUGAGAGUCGGGAACACCCGAAGUCCGUAGUCUAACCGCAGGGGGGGCGCGGCCGAAGGUGGGUCCGGUAAUUGGGGUGAAGUCGUAACAAGGUAAC